UGGUUGAAUGAUAAUUAAUGAUUAAUAACUAAUAUGCACUUCUUUAAUUUUAACCACUUCUCCUCCAUCCCCAAAUAAGAAAAAGAAAAAAGGAAAACAAUUAGUAAUUUGGUAGGGGUGGGGGUAAUACCGGUAUUGAUAGAAGAAGAGAACAUUGUGUUGCAAUUGCGGCAAUCGGGAGAAAUCGAAACACAAGAAGCUUGAUUUGGUUCUAUAAUUAUUUGACGAAGAGACAGAAUUUCGGUUACUUUCAGACGGUGGGAGCUCGUAUUUGCUGCACUGGAAGCCAAAGCCCUACACUUGUAGCAGUUCUUUCAGUAAUCCUUCCUUUCCAAGAAAUAAAUAGGCCAAAGAAGGGUUUGAAGUGAUGACGUUUGACCUCAAGGGUUAAGAGAAACUAAUACCCGAGUAAACUGAAAAGACACAAUGUUUUCUUUAUUUUAUGGCCUGUGGAAGUACCUAUUUAGUAAGACAGAGUUUCAUGUUCUCAUACUAGGAAUUGACAAGGCGGGGAAAACAACUUUGCUUGAGAAGUUGAAGUCCUUAUACUCAAACUUGGAAGGGCUCUCCCCUGAUCGGAUUGUUCCAACUGUUGGACUCAAUAUUGGGCGUCUUGAGGUGUUGAAUGCAAAGCUUGUCUUCUGGGAUCUGGGAGGUCAGCCUGGCCUUCGUUCUAUUUGGGAAAAAUAUUAUGAAGAGGCACAUGCUGUGAUCUAUGUGAUUGAUGCUGCUUGUCCUUCAAAAUUUGAAGAUUCCAAAUCUGCACUGGAGAAAGUUCUUCGACACGAGGAUUUGCAAGGAGCUCCACUUUUGGUUCUAGCAAACAAGCAGGAUCUUCCGGAAGCAGUAUCAGCAGAAGAACUUUCUCGCUAUCUCGAUCUUAAAAAGUUGGACGAAAGAGUCUACAUGUUUGAAGCUGUUUCUGGCUAUGAUGGGAUGGGGAUAAAGGAUAGUGUCGAAUGGUUGGUAGAUAUAAUGGAAAGAAGUAAAAGAACCGAAAUAUUGAGAGCUCGAGCAGGUGGGGCUGGUCUCCGUUCUGCUUAGAUCAAAUACGAAACAAUUAUAGUUGGUCUAUAUUUCUUCCAUAAACUUGUGGACAAACCAGGUGUUAGAGGCCCCUAAUUCGAAUUACAUCUUCCUGUCCGAGAGCAUCCACUCGAUCUGGCUUCCUGUUAUCUAGCUUUACUACAAAAUGUAAAGAUAAUAUUGAUUCAAAGGCUAAUUGGUAGCUUUAGAAUUCCCACCACUGAAGUACAGAAUUACGUGUUUGAACCUGGGAAUGUUUUUCAUAGCCAUUCUUGGCUGACCCUAUUUCAUACGAGUCAUCUGAAUUUUGUCAUCCAUUUUAUAAAGUUGUUAAUUUCUAGUAAGUUGUUAA